rnacentral:rRNA from 1 species
UCAAGAAACUUCCACAAUGGGCGAAAGCCUGAUGGAGCGACGUCGCGUGAUGGACGAAGUGCUUCGGCACGUAAACAUCUUUUAUGUGGGAUGAAAUUAUUGACAGUACCACAUGAAUAAGGGGCUCCUAACUCUGUGCCAGCAGGAGCGGUAAUACAGAGGCCCCAAGCGUUAUCCGGAAUCACUGGGCGUAAAGGGUGUCGAGGCGGUUGUAUUAGUCGUUCGUAAAAUCUACGAGCUUAACUUGUAGGCGGCGAACGAAACGGUACGACUUGAGGUUUGGAGAGGUGCGUGGAACUCACGGUGUAGGGGUGAAAUCCGUUGAUAUCGUGGGGAACACCAAAGGCGAAGGCAGCGCACUGGCCAAAAUCUGACGCUCACACACGAAAGCUAGGGUAGCGAAGAGGAUUAGAUACCCAUGUAGUCCCUGAGCGGGC